CUGGAAUAAAGUUAAUUUUCUUACUAGUACUAUAGUGCUGUGUUUUGGAUUUAGGAUGAGAAUAAUGUUGGUAACACACCGAAGUUUUAGUUGUGGCUAAGCACCGUUUACACCAAGUCAAGGACUUUUCAGCCUCUCAUACUGCCCUGCCAGCAGAGGCUGGGAGGGCACAAGAAGUUGUGAGGGGACACAGCCAGGGCAGCUGACCCAAACUGGCCAACGUGGUAUUCCAUACCAUGUGAUGUCAUGCCGAGUAUAUAAACUGGGC